UGAAAUUGCACAUAAAAUGGAAUCGCAGUGCGAAACAAUCAACGUGUCAAUUAAAUAAUGCACACCACCGACAGCGUGGACACUCGGACGUUGACAUAUUUUGGACAUUUGGACGUUUGCUGACAGUUUGUCUCGGGCAGCGAAUGAAUCAACCGAUUCACUCGUGUGAGCCUUUGAAAAGCAUUGACUUUCAGCCACUCGUUCUGGCUUUGACUGGCUGGAAUUUAUCGCUUAACUCCACACAACGGCGGAAUGGGUGGAGGACUCGAGGAUUGGGAUUGGGAAUGCGAUAGAAAAGGCGUUGAAACUGAGUGUGCAGCGGCUCAUAAAGCAAACUGGAGACCUACUCUUACUUUUCACUUCACCUGGGCUUUCCUACCUUCUAAGUGCGAAUGGGAGAGGCGGGGAGGGAAGAGUCCGCAAAAG